AGCCUAAUGACAUUUAUAUAAGCAAAAAUAUUUUUACUUAUUUUAUUUUGAAAGGAUUCAAGUCCCAAAAACUCACACUUUGGAGGAUUUGAAUUUACAAAUUUUCUGGAGUUUAUUUGGACUUAUUUGGAGUUAGAAAUCAAAAGAUAUAUAUGAAAACAGAAAAUAGAAAAGAAUAAGAAAAAGAAAAAGAAAAAAGGAUUGAACCGACCCAACUGGGCCGGCCCAUCUCCCCCAGCGCCCAGCCCAGCCACCUCCCCUUUUAUUUUAUUUUUCCUUUUCUCCUUCUUGGGCCGACCUCCUCCUGGCCCAACAGCACGAGCGCCCAGCCCAGUGAAAGGAAAGCCCCUGCUGCCAUGAUUCACUCCUUCGAUUUCUUUCCUUCCCACGUGUCUCUCUUCGAAAGGAAACCACCUCGUCAAUCCUCACAAUCCCGGAAAUCGAUUCAGGCAAUCAAUUUGAAGUUUCCUCUCAUAAUGGCCUUUUCCAAAAAAGGCGCCCCGAAUGCGGCC
rnacentral:lncRNA from 1 species